CAAUGGUUUUCCGUAGGUGUACCUUGCGGUAGGAUCAUUA
rnacentral:rRNA from 1 species